AUGACCAGCCAUGUCCAAAGUCGUGCCAUGGCCAACACCAUCGUCAACGUUGUGGCCGCCCUGAGCAGCGCCAUGACUCGCUCCAUCGGCAUACAGGCUAGACUUGUAGGCCCUCCAGCGGUACCUCUACAACCGGGUCAUCACUCUCCGCCUCCAUCAUCUCCCAGUAGAGGUACUCCACGGGAAGAGCGUGGUUCGGGCGCAUGCUGGCCUUCUCCUCGUCCGCGAGACAACCGACGAUGUCGAUCGCCUCCUCGUAGAGCAUCGUCGGGUCAGGGAACCACGAGCAUAUCUCGCGCAGCCGGGCGAGCUUCUCCGCACCGCCAGCGGCCACGUGAACGAGGAUUAGUGCCAGUGAAGCGGUGA
rnacentral:rRNA from 1 species